GACGAACGCUGGCGGCGUGCCUAAUACAUGCAAGUAGAACGCUGAAGGAAGGAGCUUGCUCUUUCUGGAUGAGUUGCGAACGGGUGAGUAACGCGUAGGUAACCUGCCUGGUAGCGGGGGAUAACUAUUGGAAACGAUAGCUAAUACCGCAUAAAAUUGAUUAUUGCAUGAUAGUCAAUUAAAAGGUGCAACUGCACCACUACCAGAUGGACCUGCGUUGUAUUAGCUAGUUGGUGGGGUAACGGCUCACCAAGGCGACGAUACAUAGCCGACCUGAGGGGGUGAUCGGCCACACUGGGACUGAGACACGGCCCAGACUCCUACGGGAGGCAGCAGUAGGGAAUCUUCGGCAAUGGACGGAAGUCUGACCGAGCAACGCCGCGUGAGUGAAGAAGGUUUUCGGAUCGUAAAGCUCUGUUGUAAGAGAAGAACGAGUGUGAGAGUGGAAAGUUCACAUUGUGACGGUAUCUUACCAGAAAGGGACGGCUAACUACGUG
rnacentral:rRNA from 1 species